GGUCCAUUUAUUCAAUUGGUUGAGCGUUUACUCUGUGCAGAGCGCUGGGCUCAGCGCUCGGAGUGUACAAGCCGGCAACCGAGAGAGACCAUCCCUGCCCCGCAACGGCCUCACAGGGGGAGACAGACAGCAAAACCGAACAACAGACUAGGGAGAAGAUUUCUUUUCAAAGAAGCUUGAACAUUGGACUCAAACAUCUUGCUGCCUUCAUGAAAAUCUGCCUGAAAGAUGCAAGAUCUGCCAUCUGAUACUCAGAGCAAAGUCGUACGUAAGUCCUUGUGGAUCAGAGAUUGUCAGGGCUCAGUCCUUGGCAACUCACAAUAAAGGCUCUUAAUACAAGGAUAACUGAAAUCUCAGAGCAAUGCACAUACCGUAAUGAAUGUGGAACGGUUUGGGCACCUGCCUGAUGGAAAAGACUUCAUCCAGGUUGUGCAACCCAACUAUUUAGUAGGGCAGCUUUAUCUCAAACACAAGCAAGUUACACAAUAAACACCUACAUCAACCAUGUUGCCGGAAUACCUCUGGGUAUAUUGUACAGCAUGGACUAGACUUGCCUGAAAGGAAAAAGCUUUCUGCCUACUGUAAACAUGAUUUGGUGAAAUUGGGGUAUCUGAGGAAGUAAAGCCAACAAAUUCUGAUAUAUGCAAAACGACGACUACUUCAGUGAUCCCAAUUUAAAGUGCCCACAGAAUGCUAUUCUUCCUCCAUUUACUUGGCUGAACUUUUAAUUACUUCAAUUUAUCUGAAUAAACUGUUUUUUUUUUUUCCUGAA